CUGUUUUUACUUGUUCAAUGGGGUAGUUCACUCAAAAAUUACAAUUCUGUCAUCAUUAACUCAUCCUCCAUUCAGUUCCAAACAUGUAUGCCUUUCUUUAGUCAGU